AUACGGAGGGUGCAAGCGUUACUCGGAAUCACUGGGCGUAAAGCGCGCGCAGGCGGUCUUUUAAGUUGGAUGUGAAAGCCUACAGCUCAACUGUAGAACUGCAUCCAAAACUAUUAGAAUAGAGUCUGGGAGGGGAAGAUGGAAUUAGUUGUGUAGGGGUAAAAUCCGUAGAGAUAACUAGGAAUACCAAAAGCGAAGGCGAUCUUCUGGAACAGUACUGACGCUGAGGCGCGAAAGCGUGGGGAGCAAACAGGAUUAGAAACCCUAGUAGUCC
rnacentral:rRNA from 1 species